rnacentral:misc_RNA from 1 species
AACGCACAUUGCGCCCUUUGGCAUUCCGAAGGGCAUGCCUGUUCGAGCGUCAUUAUCACCCCUCAAGCCCCCCUUCUUGAUUGAAGCCCGGCUUGGUGUUGGACGGCUUGGUGUCAGUAAUGUCACCCCUCCUAAAGACAAUGACGGCGGCUUCGUGAGACCCCCGGUACACUGAGUUCCUCACCGAACACGUACUGGAUCAUGGGUAGACGGAGCCCCGGUCGCCCUCCCUUCACGGGGAGACUUCUUCUCAGGUUGACCUCGGAUCAGGUAGGAAUACCCGCUGAACUUAA